rnacentral:rRNA from 1 species
GAUGAACGCUGGCGGCGUGCCUAAUACAUGCAAGUCGAGCGAACGGACGAGAAGCUUGCUUCUCUGAUGUUAGCGGCGGACGGGUGAGUAACACGUGGAUAACCUACCUAUAAGACUGGGAUAACUUCGGGAAACCGGAGCUAAUACCGGAUAAUAUUUUGAACCGCAUGGUUCAAAAGUGAAAGACGGUCUUGCUGUCACUUAUAGAUGGAUCCGCGCUGCAUUAGCUAGUUGGUAAGGUAACGGCUUACCAAGGCAACGAUGCAUAGCCGACCUGAGAGGGUGAUCGGCCACACUGGAACUGAGACACGGUCCAGACUCCUACGGGAGGCAGCAGUAGGGAAUCUUCCGCAAUGGGCGAAAGCCUGACGGAGCAACGCCGCGUGAGUGAUGAAGGUCUUCGGAUCGUAAAACUCUGUUAUUAGGGAAGAACAUAUGUGUAAGUAACUGUGCACAUCUUGACGGUACCUAAUCAGAAAGCCACGGCUAACUACGUGCCAGCAGCCGCGGUAAUACGUGGGUGGCAAGCGUUAUCCGGAAUUAUUGGGCGUAAAGCGCGCGUAGGCGGUUUUUUAAGUCUGAUGUGAAAGCCCACGGCUCAACCGUGGAGGGUCAUUGGAAACUGGAAAACUUGAGUGCAGAAGAGGAAAGUGGAAUUCCAUGUGUAGCGGUGAAAUGCGCAGAGAUAUGGAGGAACACCAGUGGCGAAGGCGACUUUCUGGUCUGUAACUGACGCUGAUGUGCGAAAGCGUGGGGAUCAAACAGGAUUAGAUACCCUGGUAGUCCACGCCGUAAACGAUGAGUGCUAAGUGUUAGGGGGUUUCCGCCCCUUAGUGCUGCAGCUAACGCAUUAAGCACUCCGCCUGGGGAGUACGACCGCAAGGUUGAAACUCAAAGGAAUUGACGGGGACCCGCACAAGCGGUGGAGCAUGUGGUUUAAUUCGAAGCAACGCGAAGAACCUUACCAAAUCUUGACAUCCUUUGACAACUCUAGAGAUAGAGCCUUCCCCUUCGGGGGACAAAGUGACAGGUGGUGCAUGGUUGUCGUCAGCUCGUGUCGUGAGAUGUUGGGUUAAGUCCCGCAACGAGCGCAACCCUUAAGCUUAGUUGCCAUCAUUAAGUUGGGCACUCUAAGUUGACUGCCGGUGACAAACCGGAGGAAGGUGGGGAUGACGUCAAAUCAUCAUGCCCCUUAUGAUUUGGGCUACACACGUGCUACAAUGGACAAUACAAAGGGCAGCGAAACCGCGAGGUCAAGCAAAUCCCAUAAAGUUGUUCUCAGUUCGGAUUGUAGUCUGCAACUCGACUACAUGAAGCUGGAAUCGCUAGUAAUCGUAGAUCAGCAUGCUACGGUGAAUACGUUCCCGGGUCU